ACGGGUGAGUAAUAUAUCGGAACGUACCCUGGAGUGGGGGAUAACGUAGCGAAAGUUACGCUAAUACCGCAUACGAUCUAAGGAUGAAAGUGGGGGAUCGCAAGACCUCAUGCUCCUGGAGCGGCCGAUAUCUGAUUAGCUAGUUGGUAGGGUAAAAGCCUACCAAGGCAUCGAUCAGUAGCUGGUCUGAGAGGACGACCAGCCACACUGGAACUGAGACACGGUCCAGACUCCUACGGGAGGCAGCAGUGGGGAAUUUUGGACAAUGGGCGCAAGCCUGAUCCAGCAAUGCCGCGUGAGUGAAGAAGGCCUUCGGGUUGUAAAGCUCUUUUGUCAGGGAAGAAACGGGUCUUUCUAAUACAGAGAUCUAAUGACGGUACCUGAAGAAUAAGCACCGGCUAACUACGUGCCAGCAGCCGCGGUAAUACGUAGGGUGCAAGCGUUAAUCGGAAUUACUGGGCGUAAAGCGUGCGCAGGCGGUUUUGUAAGACUGUCGUGAAAUCCCCGGGCUCAACCUGGGAAUGGCGAUGGUGACUGCAAGGCUAGAGUUUGGCAGAGGGGGGUAGAAUUCCACGUGUAGCAG
rnacentral:rRNA from 1 species